UGAAAAAAAAUUGAAUAAGAUAGAGAUACCGUAAGUAUUAGCAUUAGGUUGGCAUAAAAGUUUCUUUCGUUUUGUGAGGAAAUAAUAAAUGUACAUUUUUUGUAUCAUAUUAUUGUAUUGAAUUAUGUAUGAUCUAUUUUGUAGUAAUAGAAUCCAUUUUAUUUUAUUCGUACAGAAUUCAUUAAUAAUAACAUUAUAUUUCCUUAUAAAACUAAAGAAACUUUUGGGACAACCUAACGCAUAUAAAUACCUUUUCACAGCCACUGUAUAAGAUUAUAAAAGAUACUGAUAUACAGGAUAUUAUUAGCUGUAGCUGCACAGCCACCACGCACUCAGCAUCGCAAAUAUCGAAAGCCCUGAAGAAAAUUUGAUGAAGAAAUGCUGUAAUUUUAUAAAACUGAAUUCUAAUCGACGAGACGAGUAAACGUGUGACAGAUAUCGUAGAAUAGAAAAAAAAGUGUGUAAUAGGCAAAAAAAGAAAUGUUUAAUAUAAAUUUUACUUAGAAUUCAUACACGCAAAGGAAGCUGUCGGAACAGAUUUAAUUCCCGUUCAUUAGAUUCGUCGCCUUACUGAAUACGAUAUUCUCGAGUUCGCGGUUCAAGGGAAAGCAAAGAAUUCUGGUGGGGUCGAGAGCAACGUUCAAGAUGAAAUCCUCGGCCCUUGUUAAAUCGUCUCGGUCGGGGUCGAACAAUGCGUUCGCCAGCAUCCUCGUUUCUCGGUGAUUGCACAUAAAGCUGCCAUUAUUAGAACUUCAGUGAGCGGUAAGCGCUGGUGCUUUUUCCAGUCUCGCGUUCGCGCUUACUCUUGCGCACAAUUCGCCGCUGCAAUCGCGUGCGUUUCCAGCCGCGUUCAUCCGUCCAUGUGGCUGCCAGUCGUAGCACGAAGCUCGUUCGUCGCGUUUACUCCACUUUUUUCAUCGAAAAAUUUUAUCCGGAAUAUCACGUUCGACUCGACGACCGAUUAAUUAUCGUAUUUUACUUUCACCGAUGGUGCAUCAUUUUCAUGGGAAACGUUUAAAUUUCCACGUGGUGCCACGUGAUGGAAAAAUUGGCCACCGGUUGCUGCACGACGCUCCUUCGUCGCGCUUAUUCCACCUCUUCGGCGAAACGUUCCAUCCGGAACGUCGCGAUCGACACGAGAUCGAAAUUAAUUAUAUUCUACUUUCUCCAAUGGUGGAUCGUUCUUGCGCGAAAGAAAAAUUUUAAAUUCCUACGGCACGUGGUGAAUAAAUUGGCCACCAGUUGCUGCACGACGCUCCUUCGUCGCGUCUACUCCACUUUUUCGUCGAAACCUUCUGUCCGGGGGGUAUCGCGAUCGACCCGAGAUCCGUUCGAUCGUCUUAUCCUUCCGUCCUUUUCGCGAAAGUCGUUCGAAUUUCUGUGACGCGCGCGUGGAAAAUACUGGCGCGAAUCUUCGAGUUAGUGAGAAUCUUUGGCUCGAAUUUGAUGAUUCGUUCGCGUGGGAAUCGCACGGCGAGCCGUGCGAUUGUCGCGAUCGCUCUUAUCGCUCGCUCCACUUACGUUCCGCUUCGUUCUAUCGACUACUAGUUUGCUGCAUUCCCGGUUACUUCACUGGUGGUGAAUCGUUAAUCGACGCGAGUUACCGCCGACGAGUUUGUUACGAUACGCAAGUACAGUGGAAAAAGGAGUUUAGCGAAACAGUUUCGUAAAGCUAAACGAUUGGACGAAUCGAAAGGAAUUGGAAGUCGUUCUAAGAAUUCUGUUCGAAGACAGCUUUUAGAAGGCGAACGGCGAUUGAAAAAAGAAGAAAUUGAAACACGUGGAAGGAAAUCGAGAAACGUUCGAAUUCAACGAGGCAGUUUCGUACGCCUAGAGACGAUGAUCGAAGGAAAUUGAGAAAGAUUCGUCUGUAUUUUAAGAUUCUGUAUCAAUUUGGUAUAAAUAGGUCGAGCAAAUAUUCACGGUUAAUCUUUUCGAUAAAGCACUACCUACAAAACCACUGCAUUCUAUGAUUUCAUUUCAUCUCUGGUGUACCGUAGAAUCGUUCCCUUCUCCAUUAUACGAUCGAUUAAACAACACCCUGUGUAUUAAAACCAACGAUUCAUCUUCGUAUUACUUCUGCGCGAGCUACGUGAUAAAGCGCGAGACAUUGAAAAUGUUAGAACGCGAGAGUAUCGUCGCAUCCGCGUCUAUAUGACACGGCGUUACAUGACAAUGUAACGUAUAUGUCGUUGAUACGUUCCAGUCUGGUCGUAUUUACAAUUUCAGAAAUUUUGCAACUAUUUUUUCAUUUUAUCCGUAACGAGAAUAGCGAAGAUAAGACAGGCAAACGUGGUAAAACGUUGAUAAUUCGGUUACAGGGAAAUCGAAUAAAUUUGAAGUUGAAGAAAGUAAGAGAAAGUGGAAACGAAGCAAACGCGAUUCCUUAAGCCACGAUGUUCAGGGAUUUUAUAAUCUUUCCGGUGACGUCUUCGACGUGGAAUACCCAGAAGCUGAGAAAUUGAUUCUGUACGAUGAAAAAGACGAUGUCUCCACAGAAUACAACGAUA